rnacentral:rRNA from 1 species
AGGACGAACGCUGGCGGCGUGCCUAAUACAUGCAAGUCGAACGCGCUCCAUUCGGUAGCAAUACUGAUGAAGAGCGAGUGGCGAACGGGUGAGUAGCACGUGAGCAACCUGCCCCGAAGACUGGGACAACACCGGGAAACCGGUGCUAAUACCGGAUAUCCCUAUCGGACCGCAUGAUCCGAUAAGGAAAUGUUUUUCGCUUCGGGAGGGGCUCGCGGCCUAUCAGCUAGUUGGUGAGGUAACGGCUCACCAAGGCGUCGACGGGUAGCUGGUCUGAGAGGACGAUCAGCCACACUGGGACUGAGACACGGCCCAGACUCCUACGGGAGGCAGCAGUAGGGAAUCUUGCGCAAUGGGCGAAAGCCUGACGCAGCAACGCCGCGUGGAGGACGAAGGCUUUCUGAGUUGUAAACUCCUUUCAGCAGGGACGAUAGUGACGGUACUGCAGAAGAGCACGGCAACUACGUGCCAGCAGCCG